rnacentral:rRNA from 1 species
CAUUUUAUUGAGUCUAAAGCGGUUCGUAGCCGGUCCGUUAAAUCCUUGGGUAAAUCGGGAAGCUCAACUUUCCGACUUCCGAGGAGACUGGCGGACUUGGGACCGGGAGAGGCCAGAGGUACUUCUGGGGUAGGGGUAAAAUCCUGUAAUCCUAGAAGGACCACCGGUGGCGAAGGCGUCUGGCUAGAACGGAUCCGACGGUGAGGGACGAAGCCCUGGGUCGCAAACGGGAUUAGAUACCCCGGUAGUCCAGGGUGUAAACGCUGCCGACUUGGUGUUGGGGGCCCUUCGGGGGAACUCAGUGCCGGAGAGAAGUUGUUAAGUCGGCCACUUGGGGAGUACGUCCGCAAGGAUGAAACUUAAAGGAAUUGGCGGGGGAGCAC